CCUUUCUCCACAGCCUCGCCAACAUCUAUCGUUUCCUUACUUGUUAAUUUUAGCCAUUCUGACUGGUGUGAGGUGGUAUCUCAUUGAGGUUUUGAUUUGGAUUUCUCUGAUGCCAAGUGAUGUGGGGCAUUUUUUCAUGUGUCUGUUGGCCAUUUGGAUGUCUUCUUUGCAGAAAUGUCUGUUCAUGUCUUCUGCCCAUUUCUUGACUGGAUUAUUUGUUCUUUGGGUGUUGAGUUUGAGAAGUUCUUUAUAUAUCUUGGAGACUAGCCCUUUAUCUGUUAUGUCAUUUCCAAAUAUCUUCUCCCAUUCCGUUUUUUUUUUUGGACACACAGAGAGAGAGAAAGCACAAGUAGGCAGAGCAGUAUGCAGGGGGAGAGGGAGAAGCAGGCUCCUCGCUGAGCAGAGAGCCCGAUGCGGGGCUCAAUCCCAGGACCCCAGGAUCAUGACCUGAGCCAAAGGCAGACACUUAACCAACUGAGCCACCCAGGCGCCCCGGUUGCCUUUUGGUUUUGUCGACUGUUUCCUUUGCUGUGCAGAAGCUUUUUAUCUUGAUGAAGUCCCAAUAGUUCUUUUUUGUUUUUGUUUCCCUUGCUUUUAGACACGUCUAGCAAGAAGUUGCUGUGGCCGAGGUCGAAGAGGUUGCUUCCUGUGUUCUUCUCUAGGAUUUUGAUGGAUUCCUGUCUCACAUUUAGGCUUCACAACCCAUGAAGUUUUCUACCACGUGAACCAUUUUAAUCCACCUCCUGCCUGAAUCAUUUUGAUGGAGACUCGAUGAAGGGCGCAUUAUGAAAAUUGGGAAUGACACAGUGAAUGAUGGAUCUUGAGCAAGUGUGGCUGCAUGAGCUGUAGUUGCCCGCAAUGGAGAAUACAAGCAACUCACAGAUAGAUGGAACCUGUGAUUGGAUUGCUUAAGACAAUGAAAACUCCCCAUCUUUACUAAGAUUCCUGAUAUAUUUCUGUCUAGGACAUGCUGAUGAUCCUAUUUGAAAUACUAGAAUCUGUGCUGGGCCAACUUCUCCAGAUGGGUUAGAAGUCUUCAAAUAAGAGCCAGUUUUGAGGAGCUCAUCUGUGUCCAUCUUGGGACCAUAGCCUGGGAUGGGGCUGCUGACGUCCAAGUGGUUUAAUGAAAGGCCAGGGAGGGACAGAGCCAGGACCAAAAUCCAGAUUUCUGCACAUUCAUUCAAUUUCCAUUCAUUUUUUUCUAUUCCCUCAUUUGGUAUUCCACCUUCAUCUGUUCAUUAUCCAUCCGUUCACUCCAGUGCUCUUUGUAUUGAAUCCUGACCAUACAUGAGU